AGUGAACGCUGGCGGUAGGCCUAACACAUGCAAGUCGAACGGCAGCACAGUAAGAGCUUGCUCUUACGGGUGGCGAGUGGCGGACGGGUGAGGAAUACAUCGGAAUCUACUUUUUCGUGGGGGAUAACGUAGGGAAACUUACGCUAAUACCGCAUACGACCUACGGGUGAAAGCAGGGGAUCUUCGGACCUUGCGCGAUUGAAUGAGCCGAUGUCGGAUUAGCUAGUUGGCGGGGUAAAGGCCCACCAAGGCGACGAUCCGUAGCUGGUCUGAGAGGAUGAUCAGCCACACGGGAACUGAGACACGGUCCAGACUCCUACGGGAGGCAGCAGUGGGGAAUAGUGGACAAUGGGCGGAAGCCUGAUGCAGCCGUAGCGCGUGGGUGAAGAAGGCCUUCGGGUUGUGAAGCCCUUGUGUUGGGAAAGAAAAGCAGCGGGUUAAUACCGCGCUGUUCUGACGGUACCCAAAGAAUAAGCACCGGCUGACUUCGUG
rnacentral:rRNA from 1 species